CUAAUAAUGGUAGGGGCUGCGCGAACGCAAACCCCCUCUGCCACAAAUAAUGACGUAGGCUCUUCCUCAAGGGAAGACCUUAAGCUAAGCACCCCAGACAAAGUGCAGGCCGGUCACUAGCCUAGGCCACUCGUCAUCUUGAUCACGAGUAGACCCCGUCCAGGUAAGUGAUUUGCUCGUUCCAGCCACUUCUUUAUUUAUACUCCUGUGUCCCAGUCAUUAUUUCUAGGCUAAGCAAUGUGGGAUUAUUAUCACUUACAAACAUCCUGCCGUUCGAAGUUACUGGUAUCAAACAACGUGCUGGUCUCUUACAUAUGAGUUUCU